UGAUGAGGCAUGAUAUGUUUCUUUGGUUAGAUCACCAUCAUCAAGGUUAAAAGCUUAUUGCUAUCGACUAUAAUCAUUGUUGUCGUUAUCAAAAUUUUAGAUGGAUCUUCUGUGGGAUUUUCAACAUUAUAUCUACAAGCACAUAGAUCCACAUCCUCCCCAUUUUUUAUGAUGAAAACGCAUAUCUCAGGGAGGUAGUAAAAUAAAUAACAUAUAUGUAUUUG
rnacentral:lncRNA from 1 species